GUGAAUCAUCAAAUCUUUGAACGCACAUUGCGCUUCCUGGUAUUCCGGGGAGUAUGCCUGUUUGAGGGUCAGUUUAAAUAAUAAAUCGGUUUAGUUACAGAUUGUGACGUUUCCGGAGUUUGGGCUAACUUAGCAGUUUUGGUUAAGAGGCUUGAAAUUGCCCUUUUUUACGCAGUUUUAAACGCACAUAAAUUUUUUUUAUUAGUCUGUUCUUAAUGCCAACGUCUUAUUAGAUGCGAUCACAUGGUGUCGCUACGUGCCGAUAAA
rnacentral:misc_RNA from 1 species